rfam:Burkholderia multivorans ATCC 17616 DNA, complete genome, chromosome 1.
GUGCGUCUUCAGGGCGGGGCGAAAUUCCCCACCGGCGGUAGGUCGGCGUCAGCCGACGAGCCCGCGAGCGCCCGCGCAACCGCGCGGGGUCAGCAGAUCUGGUCGAAUGCCAGAGCCGACGGUCACAGUCCGGAUGAGAGAAGAUGUGC